GCCGGGGGCGUGACAAGGUCUAUGCCCAAUCCAUAUCUCAUAUGGAAUCUGCACAACAGACUUACUCAGUAUAUUUUUAGAGUAAAAUAAGUAAUCACACAAGAGCUCAAUCCUGAAAUAGACAGAUUAGUGAACCCUAUCAUGAAUUGAAUCAUGUCUAACAAAUUUCAACUUCUCCUUUCAGAUACAUUAUGUUCUGAAAAAGAAUCCACUGAGAGAGAAUCCAAUUCUCUCCUAAAUAUAUCAUCCUUUUCAUCGUUUGAAUUAUUUGAAUAUUUCAAAUGAUUUGGUCAAACGCACCCAUGCCCAGAUAGG
rnacentral:lncRNA from 1 species